UCAACCCAUCGAGGCAUUUUUUUAACGGGGCGGGUGAUGGGUCGAACCGCCGGGUCCGCGGGUCAACCCGAGAUGUGGCGCCAUCUAUUGGUCAAAUAAAGAAUCUCACAGCUAGAAAGUGCCAGAAAGAUCUGGAGGGAUAGGAUAGCUUAAAUCCAUGCAUUGCAGAUGCAGAGUUGCAGACAUUCGAUGUUCAGUCAUCACGUUUUAAGUAGACGCUGACACGCGCUAGAGCUUCAAAAGGCAGAACACAUGAAGUGGUGAAAGCAGUAUGUCUAAACGUAAAUCUACUUCUAAUAAUGGCGAGCAGUUAUCGCGUAAACCUCAAAGUUUGUCUAAAUCGAGCAAUUCUGCUGGGAAAAAGAGAAGUUUACCAAUUAACAUUGGCAUUGAAAGUGAUGAUGAGAAUGAGAUGGAUGAUGCAGAUGCACUUCCUGCAACAAGCACAGAAAUAACCAAUCAGUCAAGUUCAGCUCCAUUGAAAGCAUUCCAGCGACAAGCGCAGCUAGCGAGAGGGCCUUUACUGUUGGCAAGGAUAUUUUUGGCAUUUCGAGAAUGAGCUUGAAGCCUGAGACCGUUGAAGCCCUAAUCUGUCUACGUUCAUGGUACAAAGCAGGAUUAGUGGGGGUAAAAGAAGUCUACGAUUUAUUGGAAGAAAACUUUGAUACCUUACUUUUCAACUUUGGGAAAACGAAGAAGAAGAAGAUUUUUAAAAACAAUUUUUUGUAUUUGUUCGAUAACUACAGUUAAUUCGGAUUUUUACUUCCAACACUUACUUCCAAGUUUCUUUUCGUUUCAUUGAUGAAUGUUUGUUUACAUCAAUUCUCAUGUAUUAAUUUUUUUUUUGUUCAUUUAAAACAGAAUAAAAAUUCAAUUUUUAUACGUUA
rnacentral:lncRNA from 1 species